GACAGAGGGUGCAAGCGUUGUUCGGAAUUACUGGGCGUAAAGCGCGUGUAGGCGGUUUCGUAAGUCGGAUGUGAAAGCCCUCGGCUCAACCGGGGAAGUGCACCCGAAACUGCGGAACUAGAGUCUCGGAGAGGAUCGUGGAAUUCUCGGUGUAGAGGUGAAAUUCGUAGAUAUCGAGAGGAACACCGAUUGCGAAGGCAGCUUACUACACGAUCAUUGACGCUGGGGCACGAAAGCGUGGGGAGCAAACAGG
rnacentral:rRNA from 1 species